AUUGAACGCUGGCGGCAGGCCUAACACAUGCAAGUCGAGCGAGCGGCGGACGGGUGAGUAAUGUAUGGGGAUCUGCCUGAUGGCGGGGGAUAACUACUGGAAACGGUAGCUAAUACCGCAUACCAUCAGAUGAACCCAUAUGGGAGUGGCUAGUAGGUAAGGUAACGGCUGACAUGGGCGACGAUCCCUAGCUGGUCUGAGAGGAUGAUCAGCCACACUGGGACUGAGACACGGCCCAGACUCCUACGGGAGGCAGCCGUGGGGAUGAUUGCACAAUGGGCGCAAGCCUGAUGCAGCCAUGCCGCGUGUAUGAAGAAGGCCUUCGGGUUGUAAAGUAAUUUCAGUCGGGAGGCGUUACCGACAGAAGAAGCACCGGCUAACUCCGUGCCAGCAGCCGCGGUAAUUC
rnacentral:rRNA from 1 species